UAUAUUCCAUUAAUAGUUGACAUAUGUUGCAAAUUAGUUGAAGAAAGAGGUCUUGAAUAUACAGGUAUUUAUAGAGUUCCUGGAAAUAAUGCAGCCAUCUCAAGUAUGCAAGAAGAACUCAACAAGGGAAUGGCUGAUAUUGAUAUACAAGAUGAUAAAUGGCGAGAUUUGAAUGUGAUAAGCAGUUUACUAAAAUCCUUCUUCAGAAAACUCCCUGAGCCUCUCUUCACAAAUGAUAAAUAUGCUGAUUUUAUUGAAGCCAAUCGUAAAGAAGAUCCUCUAGAUCGUCUGAAAACAUUAAAAAGACUAUUCCUUUCAGCUCAUCUGAAGACAGUGGCAG
rnacentral:lncRNA from 1 species